GACGAACGCUGGCGGCGUGCCUAAUACAUGCAAGUAGAACGCUUAAGAGAGGAGCUUGCUCUUCUUGGAUGAGUUGCGAACGGGUGAGUAACGCGUAGGUAACCUGCCUUGUAGCGGGGGAUAACUAUUGGAAACGAUAGCUAAUACCGCAUAACAAUGGAUGACACAUGUCAUUUAUUUGAAAGGUGCAAUUGCUCCACUACAAGAUGGACCUGCGUUGUAUUAGCUAGUAGGUGAGGUAAUGGCUCACCUAGGCGACGAUACAUAGCCGACCUGAGAGGGUGAUCGGCCACACUGGGAAUGAGACACGGCCCAGACGCCUACGGGAGGCAGCAGAAGGGAAUAUUCGGCAAUGGGGGCAAGCAUGACCGAGCAACGCCGCGUGAGUGAAGAAGGUUUUCGGAUCGUAAAGCUAUGUUGUAAGUCAAGAACGGGGGUGAGAGUGGAAAGUUCACACUGUGAAGGGAGAUGAGCAGAAAGGGACGGCUAAAUAAGUG
rnacentral:rRNA from 1 species